GCUCUUUGAAAUUUGCUGAUGAUUGGGGUUGACUAGGAUGAUUUCUGGAAGGUUUCAUGCAGUUGGCUGAGAACAAUAGCAGCCGAACGAGAUGCUUUGGAACAACAAAACAACACACACAAAGUGCAAGAAGCUAAAGCUGCUGCAGACAGAUUUGAGGGAUUGGCUAUUCAAAAGCGUCAACGAGCCCAAAUGCUCAUGGAAAAUGCGGACUUAGCUACUUACAAAGCCAUGAUGGCUCUUAGAAUUGCAGAAGCAGCUCAAAUUUCAGAGGCUCCGGGUACAGUUGCAUCCCUUUUUCUUGGUUAACCGACGGAGUAGUAACAAUCAUAUUUCAUUAAGAUGGCCAAUUUUUUCGAGCUACAAGAGGGGGAUUACUGUUUUUCCAUCAAAACCUUGGUAGGUUGACCACCUUGUGAAAGAAUUAAUGUAAUUUUGUAUAGAUUCUGAUUCGAUGUACAUUUGUAUGAUAACCUGAAACCUCGAUCUGUACAAGGGGGUUCUAUCGGUUUCUUUGAACGAGAUAGGGAAGUGGAAAAAUAUAGGAAAA